GAUCAUGGCUCAGAUUGAACGCUGGCGGCAGGCCUAACACAUGCAAGUCUAACGGUAACAGGGAUCAGCUUGCUGAUUCGCUGACGAGUGGCGGACGGGUGAGUAAUGUCUGGGAAACUGCCUGAUGGAGGGGGAUAACUACUGGAAACGGUAGCUAAUACCGCAUAACGUCGCAAGACCAAAGAGGGGGGACCUUCGGGCCUCUUGCCAUCGGAUGUGCCCAGAUGGGAUUAG
rnacentral:rRNA from 1 species